UACGUAGGGUGCGAGCGUUGUCCGGAAUUAUUGGGCGUAAAGAGCUCGUAGGCGGUUUGUCACGUCUGCUGUGAAAUCCCGAGGCUCAACCUCGGGCCUGCAGUGGGGUACGGGCAGACUGGAGUGCGGUAGGGGGAGAAUGGAAUUCCUGGUGUAGCGGUGGAAUGCGCAGAUAUCAGGAGGAACACCGGUGGCGAAGGCGGGUCUCUGGGCAACAACUGACGCUGAGGAGCGAAAGCGUGGGGAGCGAACAGG
rnacentral:rRNA from 1 species